rnacentral:rRNA from 1 species
UACGAAGGGAGCUAGCGUUGUUCGGAAUUACUGGGCAUAAAGGGCGCGUAGGCGGCCGUAUACGUCAGAUGUGAAAUCCCUGGGCUUAACCUAGGAACUGCAUUUGAUACGGUACAGCUAGAGUAUGGUAGAGGAUAGUGGAAUUGCGAGUGUAGAGGUGAAAUUCGUAGAUAUUCGCAGGAACACCGAUGGCGAAGGCAGCUAUCUGGGCCAAUACUGACGCUGAGGCGCGAAAGCGUGGGGAGCAAACAGG